ACACACACAUAUAAACACACACCCCGGCGUAUUGGAACCUCUCUCGCGAUCCCGCACCCAGCUUGAAUUCAGCGAGAAUCAAAAACAGGUGUGCCCCGGUGGGGCAGUUCGAAGAUGGCCAAAUAGGAACAGCUCCAGUCUGCAGCUCCCAGCUUGAGCGACACAGAAGACGGGUGAUUCCUGCAUUUCCAACUGAGGACUGCCGAAGAUGAGAGUAACUACCCCUGGUUUCAUUUCCAACUCAUGAAUUUUUCGCCAUCCUUCUCUGCCCGCCUUUCCUUUACUACACAGUGAGCCGCACUCCUGGAACAAGCUUCCCUUGAAGUUCACCCUCUUGAGCGCCACAGCCCCUCUCCAGCCUGCAUUCCACUGUAAGGUUGAGAAAUAUCUGAUUGUUAGUGAUGAGAGAGAAAACCUAGCCUCAUUCUCUGGUGGCCUGUCUUGCAAAAGAGAGAUGAAAUCAAACCUGGCUUCCUGAGAUUCCAAAUCACAAACAUCACAUACUAGUUUUUUUUUUUAAUAAAAUCAUGGGGCCAGAUGUGGUAGCUCACAUCUGUAAUACCAGCACUUUGGGAGGCUGAGGCAGAACAAUCACUUGAGGCCAGGAGUUCAAGACCAGCCUGGAAAACAAAGGGAAACCCACUUCUACAAAAAAUUUAAAAAUUAGUCACAUGUGGUAGCAUGAACCUGUAGUUCCAGCUACUUGGGAGGCUGGGGCAGGAGGAUCGCUUGAGCCCAGGAGCUGGAGGCUACAAUGAGCCAUGAUUGCACUACUGCACUCCAGCCUGGGUGACAGAGGGAGACCCUGUCUAAAUAAAUAUCAUAGAAAGGUGGGGAACUCACUCAGUGUGUC